UGACACCCGGGAAACAGUGAUUACUCGGGCUCUCUGUGAUUAUCUCAAUAUCUUACCACAUUAUGCUGAACAUCACCUUGGCGGCUGUUUCAUUUUCAUGUAGUUUCUUCAGUUAUAGGAGAUUUACUGAGGAAGCAGAGGAUUAUCCUGAGUCUGUCUGUCAGAAGACAAUCUAAUUCAGAUAAGGCUUUAUCAGCAAGCAGGAGCUGUGCCUGAUCAAAUGAUGCAUGGAUUUGGUUGGUGCGAUGUCGAUCACGGAAAUGCUUCCGGUCACCGUGCGUAUCAAAUGAUCCAGGCUCGCUGACAGGUCGUUUAAACUCAGCUGCUGGACCAGGUCAUCGCUGGUUAGGCAGCAUUUAUUGCCCAGAGAGCAGUUAAGAGUCAACCGCAUCGCUGUGGGUCUGGAUUCACAAGCAGGCCAGACCAGGAUCAGUGCAUUUCUGGCUAGGCAGCAUUUAUUGCCCAUCCCUAAUUACCCACUGGGCAGUUAAGACUCAACCACAUUGCUGCAGGCCUGGAGUCACAUGUAGGCCAGACCAGGCAAAAGGAAGUGUUGACUUGGGAGACAGAAAGGGAAUGACAGGCACUGGUAGACAAAUCGUGCAAUGUGAACUGGAGCACUGCUGAACCAGAUGAUGUGAACUGCAUGACACUGGAUUUCAUUUGGCUGUAUGUUAAAGGAGAAUCACAUGUCAGUGACCUAUCCGAAACAUUUUCUGCAACGUGCAAUGCACUUCAAUCUCAUUCAUUGUCACUGGAAUUUUCCAGCAAGUCGUUAUAUCACAUUUCACUAUUAAUCAUUAAUUCACGAACAAGCAAAACCUGUGUUUAAAGGUUACUGAUUGUUGUUUAUAACUGUUCCUUUUUCCAUGCCACAGGUCUGGAAUAUUUUAUUGUUGUUA